rnacentral:rRNA from 1 species
AGGUAAUGGCUCACCAAGGCCGCGAUCCGUAGCUGGUCUGAGAGGAUGAUCAGCCACAUCGGGACUGAGACACGGCCCGAACUCCUACGGGAGGCAGCAGUGGGGAAUAUUGGACAAUGGGCGAAAGCCUGAUCCAGCCAUGCCGCGUGUGUGAAGAAGGCCUUCGGGUUGUAAAGCACUUUCAGCGAGGAAGAACGCUUGUGGGUUAAUACCCUGCAAGAAGGACAUCACUCGCAGAAGAAGCACCGGCUAACUCCGUGCCAGCAGCCGCGGUAAUACGGAGGGUGCAAGCGUUAAUCGGAAUUACUGGGCGUAAAGCGCGCGUAGGCGGCUUGAUAAGCCGGUUGUGAAAGCCCCGGGCUCAACCUGGGAACGGCAUCCGGAACUGUCAGGCUAGAGUGCAGGAGAGGAAGGUAGAAUUCCCGGUGUAGCGGUGAAAUGCGUAGAGAUCGGGAGGAAUACCAGUGGCGAAGGCGGCCUUCUGGACUGACACUGACGCUGAGGUGCGAAAGCGUGGGUAGCAAACAGGAUUAGAUACCCUGGUAGUCCACGCCGUAAA